rnacentral:rRNA from 1 species
GACGAACGCUGGCGGCGUGCUUAAUACAUGCAAGUCGAACGGAAAGGCCCUGCUUUUGUAGGGUGCUCGAGUGGCGAACGGGUGAGUAACACGUGAGUAACCUGCCCUUGACUUUGGGAUAACUUCAGGAAACUGGGGCUAAUACCGGAUAGGAGCUCCUGCUGCAUGGUGGGGGUUGGAAAGUUUCGGCGGUUGGGGAUGGACUCGCGGCUUAUCAGCUUGUUGGUGGGGUAGUGGCUUACCAAGGCUUUGACGGGUAGCCGGCCUGAGAGGGUGACCGGCCACAUUGGGACUGAGAUACGGCCCAGACUCCUACGGGAGGCAGCAGUGGGGAAUAUUGCACAAUGGGCGGAAGCCUGAUGCAGCAACGCCGAGUGCGGGAUGACGGCCUUCGGGUUGUAAACCGCUUUCGCCUGUGACGAAGCGUGAGUGACGGUAAUGGGUAAAGAAGCACCGGCUAACUACGUG